UAUAGCACACUAUGUACAUAGUACGUACAUUAUUCGUACAUUUUACGUACGUUCGUCCAUGUACAAAACAUGUACGUACUGCGUACGUACAGUAACGGACGAAAAUUGAGAAGUUAGCAAGUACGUACAUAGUACGAACAAUGUACAAACAUGUUUGCAGUUACACCUGAACGUGCGCAUUACUGGUUUUAGUGCGCAUGCACUACAUGCAGCUGUGUGAAUAGUGAAUGAUUUGUUAAUGGCGUCUUUUAUUUGGUUUGCAUAAACAUUUGUUAUCUUGGUUAAAGUUAAAAGUGUUAUUCAGUGUUGGUGUUGUGACUUGGGAUAGUUUUAUUGGUGCGUAUAUCUUAAAAUCAUUUGUGUAUACAAGUGGUAAAUUCUUCAUUUUCUGUUUUAAAUACACAUACAAAAGGCAGAUUAUAACCUAUAAUUGUGCAUGUGGAAUCAUCUGCGUUCCCCUCUUUUAUUAUAGUAGGUAGUUAACAAUUUGCUUAAAAUUGCAAGUGUAGAAAAAUGCCUAAAUAUAAAUUAUCCCGUACACAUUACAGACAUGCUCAACAAUUGUCGAAUGAUACAAUUGAACUCAUAAACCGAACUGUAAUUGAAACUGUACCAACUUCGGUAGCGACAAGUAAUGAAACAACCGAAUCUGCACAAUCUACACCUAUAAUUGGAGAUGAUACGGUUAGUGAGUAUGAAUCAGAAUCAGAUUCUAUUGACGAUUUAGAUGUCGACGAUGAGUUUCGUAGUACAACCCCCAGUAGAGAUGAGAAUCCAGUUAAUUCCACCGAAGGUUUAAAUCCGAGUAAUUAUUCUUCACAAACAACUUUUGCUUCGUUACUUGCAGACUGGGGUGUCACAUAUCAUAUUGAACAUAUUGCUUUAAAUAGUUUGUUACGCUUGCUUCGUCAACAUUUCGAUAACAAUCUACCUGCUGAUGCACGAACGCUAUUAAAAACUCCUAGAAGGACUGAUUUACAAGAAAUUUUUCCUGGUAAAUUUUUCUAUUUUGGUCUCGAUUCUGCAGUCAAUAAAAUUCUUGACAAAUAUGAACUUAGCGAUAAUAUAGAUGUAAUUAAAAUUGGUGUCAAUGUAGAUGGACUUCCAUUAAGCAAAAGUUCCGGUAGUCAGUUGUACCCCAUCAUAUGUAAUCUAUGGGAGAAUCCCUCCGUCGUCGAAAUGAUCGGUUUAUAUCAUGGAUACGAAAAGCCCUCUGAUCCAAACAUUUUCAUGCAAGAUUUUAUAAAUGAUGCGGUUUUGUUUACGAAUAACGGUUUUAUGUAUAAGAAUCGUACUAUUCCAUUUAGGGUAAAUGCUAUCAUCUGUGAUGUUCCAGCAAAAUCGUUUAUAACGUUUACAAAAGGACAUAGUGGGUAUAAUUCUUGCUCAAAAUGUCACAUAGAGGGAGAAUACGUUAACAAUCGUGUGUGUUUUUACAACUCUUCAAAUGUUAGAAGCAGGUGUGAUACUGAUUUUCGACAGAAACUUGAUGAAGAACAUCACACAGGUACUUCGAUAUUAGAAAUUUUGCCAAACUUUGACAUGAUACGUAACAUCCCAUUGGAUUACAUGCAUCUUAUCUGUUUAGGUGUGAUGCGAAAACUAUUACUUUUAUGGGUUUUUGGGAAACCAAAUUCAAAGUUAGCACAUAUUCAAGUAUCACGCAUAUCAAACUAUUUAGUUGAGUUGUCUAAAAAUAUCCCCUGUGAGUUCGUUCGCAAACCUCGCUCGUUGGAUGAUCUCAAACGGUUUAAAGCUACCGAGUUUCGACAAAUUUUAAUGUACACAGGGCCACUUGUAUUCAAAACUACCUUGUCGAAGGAUCGUUAUGCCAAUUUCUUAAGCCUUCAUGUUGCUAUGAGGAUUUUUUCAAAUGAAAGCCACUUGGCAGAACAUGGAGAUUACGCUCAUGAUUUACUAAAGUAUUUCAUAGAUACCUUUGUGAUUUUGUAUGGGAAGGAAAAUGUGUCACAUAAUGUGCAUAAUCUUUUGCAUCUGCGGGAAGAUUGCAAAAAUUUUGGCGUGUUACAAAACUUUUCAGGAUUUCCAUUUGAAAAUUACUUACAGUCAUUGAAAUUACUAAUUCGCAAAGGUAGCGACCCUUUACCACAAAUUAUUAAAAGAAUAAUAGAAAAAGAUUGUCGUCACACUGAUGCAAAAAAAUAUCAUCAAGUAUCAACUACUACACCUAAACCAAAUAAAUUACACAAUAAUGGACCUUUACUAAAUCAUAAUCGAACUCGUAACAUUUUAUAUCAAUAUAAAGAAUUGUGUUUUGAAAAGUUUACAGUCAAACUAACUGAAAGUGAUAGCUGCUGUGGAUUAACGGACGGAAACAUAAUAUGCAUAAAAAAUAUUGUAACAAAUGCUGAUAAUGAAUUGUAUGUAAUUGCACAAAAAUUUAAUUUAAAAACAAACUUAUACUUUCAACCACUUCCAUCAUCUGCACUGAAUAUUUAUAUUGUAAAUGAUUUAGGUCCUUUAGAAGUAUGGAGUGUUGAUGAGAUCACAUGCAAAUAUGUUAAAAUGAGAUAUAAUGAUAGGUUUGUUGUAGUACCUUUACUACAUUGCUAGCAAAACAUCUAGGUAUAAAGUUCUCUAUUGCGAUCUAUUUUGUUACAAGCUGUUGUAUUAGUUUUUCUGUGUAACUUAUUCAAUGUUUUUAGAAACCUAGUAGCAAAUGAGCAAAAUUAGUACGCGAGCGAGUUUUAAACUUGUACAACGAGCAUAGGUACAAGUUUUGCUCACUUGAAAUCAAAUUCUGCAAUUAGUAUGUGCAAGCUAUAUUAUGUAUGUGUAUUUAAUAUACCUAGGUAAACAAUUCAGAUACCUUGAUUUCUGAAAUAUAUGCAUGUCGUAUAUUAGAAAUAGUGAUUAUCAAUUAAUAGUUGCUUUAUCGGGGUAAGUGCAUCUUGUAUAAAUUUCAUGUUUACUAAAAAUAGUAGUUCAGACAUUGUCAAAUGCAUGUAUAUUAUUAAGAAUUAUUUUGUGGCAGUGUGACUAAUAUGGAUAAGGUUGUGGAUAAUCAGCAGAAUAAAACAUGGUCCGUUAUAAAAUUUCCGGACGAGAAAUCAGUUUCUGCUGUUCCAUCUUCGUGGAUCGUAGGAAAAAAAUGUUACUGGCCCCCUUAUAGUGAGAAAGCACUUCGAGCAGCGAUCGAAAAUAAUGAAAGCCCAAAUUUCCAAGUUUGGCAAUCAUAUACAUUUGAGAGCUUUCGAAACAAUGUGUUUGAUACUUUUAAAGAAGCAGACAAAAAGUCCCUAAAAGCCACGAAAACUUCUGACCUAGAAUCUGGUUGUGAGACAAAGUCAUACACUUUUUCCUCAAAAAAAAGAAAAAUUUUUCGAAAAACUGUCAGCUUUUCUUCGGUGGAAGAGGAAGGUGAAGAAGAGGAAGGUGAUGAAGAAGAGGAAAGCGUUUUGCCAGACCCACCUUCAUUCAAAAAACAACGCAGAGAAUUACAACCAAAUGUGGAAAUAAAUACCUUCGACCAAAAUGAACUUCUGAAAAGACAAGAGGAGCGACGAAAAAGAGAUAUACUGCCCCAAAGAAGUGAGAAUUUAUCCACUCCACGUGUCAGCGAGGAGAACAAUGAAGAGUCUGAUUCAAAAACAAUUAUUAAAUACCUUCAAAGUAUAAUUAGAAAACAGAACAUUUUACACUCCACGUUACUGGAUAUAACUAAUCGUUUAUCAAAUAUUGAAAAUAAGAAUACUGUGCUACAAAUAGAAAAUAGUGAGUCUAUUUUUAUCACAUUGGAAAAUCUGCCUGUUAAUACGGAAGAAGACUUAGCAGUACUAGAAGAUCAUUUAGGAGAAGGCAUGGAGCAUGCUGUUAACGAGUUAUCCAAUUUGGGUGGUGCCACAAUAUAUGAUUUUAUAUUUCGGGCCACUGAAAAGUUAAUAACAAAUAAUUUCUGUGGCAUCCACUACAGUUACGAGGGGAAAAGAAAGAAAAAGGCAUUUCGUAACCUUAAAUUGCAUGAACUAUUGAUAAAAUCAUCGCUCGCAUUAUUCAAAAAUGUUACCAUUAAGGACGUUGAGAUAAGUAUCCAAAAAUGGAUCAGACGGUGCUCAGAAAGAGCGAAGGCUACCAAACAUAAGUAAAAUAUACGAAAAGGUGCCAUUUGUAAAUAUUGAGUGUUGGUUGACUUUGUUUCAUUUAAGAGUUAUUGUUUGUUUUUAUUUUAAUAUGUUUUAGGUAUAAUAUACAUUCCAUAUUAUUAA